CAGCGAAGGGUGGCGCUAUUUCACCUAGUGACCGUGGUGUGAAAAUGUUUUUUUGAUGACACUGCGGUGGUAGUAGUUAGUAAGCAGCAGUAAUGCUGUGUUCAACUACUUGUGGGAACUUGGAAACUCGGAAAUGUCCGACUUGCUAACUGGUGAUAGUUAUACACGUGCGGUGUUGAACGACUCAUCAGGUCGGACAUUUCUUAGGUCAUAGUUCCGACUAGUAUUUUAACGCGGCCUAAGUAGGCAGGCACCCCUCACGAGCGAUCUAUUGUGAUCAUCGGUUCGCACAGCUGGUCUGUUCUCCUACCGAAAAGGGAACGGAACAUUCGCUACGGCUUCUUUUCCACCAGGUUCUUAACUUCGAAUCCUCAAUAGUCAUGCUGGAAGCGACACCUUCGCAGAUUUAGGCGACAUUAUCGGAGAUAAUAAACUAGCACACGCAGACAACAAAUUAUUCCUCUUUUUACGGCGUGUGGAAAGACUGCAUCCGGACUGAAAAGAAACUCCGGGGACGGGGACACUGGUCGGAACAACGCACAUCGUUUCUGCAACAGGGACCGUGGUGCAUAACGGUCACGGACUUCCCCCCUCGGCCCACAGUGUUCACUCCUUCCUGCACCAGUACACUAGUUCCUUCAAGAAGCCCCCUCUGCGGAGACCCCAGAGCGUCAUAGGUG
rnacentral:lncRNA from 1 species